rnacentral:rRNA from 1 species
AGAUUAAACUCAAAGAAUUGACGGGGUCCGCACAAGCGGUGGAACAUGUGUUUAAUUCGACACUACGCGAGGAACCUUACCUAGGCUUGACAUGUUUAUGAUCGCUACAGAGAUGUAGCUUUCCAGGGGUAACUCUGGACAUUUACACAGGUGCUGCAUGGCUGUCGUCAGCUCGUGUCGUGAGAUGUUGGGUUAAGUCCUAUAACGAGCGCAACCCCUGCUAUCAGUUGCUACCUUUAAGUAGAGCACUCUGAUGGGACUGCCUGGGAAACCAGGAGGAAGGUGGGGAUGAUGUCAAGUCCGCAUGGUCCUUAUGCCUAGGGCUACACACGUGUUACAAUGGCGAAUACAAAGGGCUGCGAAUCUGUAAAGAGGAGCCAAUCCCAUAAAGUUCGUCUAAGUUCAGAUUGAGGUCUGCAACUCGACCUCAUGAAGUUGAAAUCGCUAGUAAUCGCAUAUCAGAACGAUGCGGUGAAUACGUUCUCGGACCUUGUACACACCGCCCGUCACACCACGAAAGCUGUUUGUACCCGAAAUCAUUUUAGCUGACCCGUAAGGGAGGCGAAUGCUGAAGGUAUGGAGAGUGAUUGGGGUGAAGUCGUAACAAGGUAACC